UCCAGGGUAACCUAGUGGACAUGGCACCUGCCCGGUAAGCAGAAGGUUGUGGGUUCGAUUCCCGCCCCUGGAC
rnacentral:tRNA from 1 species